rnacentral:lncRNA from 1 species
UCAUUUUUACAAGUAAUAGGACCCGAUCGAGACAAAAAAAACGAUGACCCAAUUGAGAUUGACACACAAAUACAAGGACCAAAUGAGGGUUUAAACCAAAAAUUUAUCAAUAAUUAUUAAUAAUUAAAAUUUGUUUUUAAUUAUUGACAACAAAAAUUUCUCAAUAUGUUUUUCUUCUUCUUUCUUCUAGUCCUUUUCAUAGUCCUCCCUCUCAUUCUUCUUUUUAUCCUGCUUCUCCUCCAUCGCUUUGGUCAUCAUCGCAAAAUCCUCUUUCACUUUGUUUUACUCUUCUUUUUUCUCUUUUUUCUCCUUAUUCGCACUCAUCCUCAAUUAAUUUAUAAAACAUAUUACAUCAACUUUUGUGAAAAAAUUGACACUCAUUUUAUUAAAGAAUUUAAAAUUCAAUUAUCAAGACAUUUAUUGUUUAAAUAGUUAAUUUAGUAAAUAAAAAAAAAAUUAAUUACAGAUUUUAGUAUGAAUAGUUGAAACCCAUAAUGUAAGAACCUGACUUUCUUAUUUUUAUUUCCUUAAAAAUAAAUAAAAACUUUUAAUACAAAUUCUAGUUCAUUCUUACAGAACAUCCUCUCUCUAGAAGUUAAACUCCUAUAAGCUCUGCCUUCUCUCUAAAUUCACUCCUCACUGAACCAGAGAAUUCCAGUUUUGGUAAUGCCCUAACGAUCACGAAGUAGAAAGCUCUGUUUCCAACCGAUCAAUUUUUCCAAUUCCUCCGCCGGUAAGUCAUUUUCUCCUUCUCUGUAAGUUUGGAAGCUACAAUCAUGCAAUGGGAUCUGUUGCAUGUAGUUUCCCUGUAUUUUCCCUCAAUCCUCACUCAAAUUUAGGUUCUAAGAAACUNUUCUCUAUCANCAAUUGAUGAAUUUUAGGUAUUUCCAAGUUUCUCACGAUGCAAGGGGCUAACUGAUCUUUCCUGUGAACUUGAUUGUGCGUGUAGAGGUAAGGGAAGCUGGAUUUCAUUUCUGUUCUGUGUUUUAUUGUUAUCAUGAAUGAGAUUGUUAUUUGUG